CGGGGAGGCGGGUUCUUCCGGGUGCCAUGAGUUCCCCUUAGUACCUGAGCCUGCUUGAAUGGCCUGAGCCAUUCUGCUCGAUACUGUGAGGUGCGCUCAGGCAAGCUCCGAGGUUGCGAAAUGGAUCAUAAUAAACAUCUGGUCCUGGUGUGACCUAAUGGUUCAGUUAUCUUCUUGAAAAAGAAUACCUCUGCCACAAGGGCAAGAUGACCCCUAGUGACAACCAUUUGAAAAGGACUUCCCAGCUGUGAAGCAAAGGGAUAGCUGCACUGGACUAGCAUGUGUAAUAGAAUGUACACACAAAGCACCCUUUGCCUUGGGAGAUGAACAGGUGGGAGAGUGGAAGAUUCCGUCUGCCCCUAGGGUGGGGCAGAAGGGCAGAGCUGGAAGGCCUGUUCUGUCUGAUUCCAGUAGUGGAGCUGCUACUGUCCUGUGGACAAGCUAGCAAUCAGGAGGAGCAUGAAUGGGAGAUAGCAUGGAUGUUCUUUCCAUAUUCUCCUCUGAUGCAGUCCAUCAGAGAGCUGUGAGGGAGACCACAAGCUAUGCUAUGGUGAGUGUGGCAGCUACCAGGAAGAGCAGGUUGGCUAAGCUAUCUAGGGCCAAUCUGAUUGGACUUGGAUAGACCUUGAACCAGACUGUGGUUCUGUUGGUACAUGUGGUGACCUGGUCAGAGGAUCUUGGCCUCUGAGCCGGCCUGAGUGUGGAUUCCCUGGGGAAGAGGAAGCUCUGUAGCUCUGGCCAUAGGAAGCUUUAUUGCUUAUAAUACCACUGCCCAGUGUGCACAAACAAG
ensembl:lncRNA